rnacentral:rRNA from 1 species
UACGAAGGGGGCUAGCGUUGUUCGGAAUUACUGGGCGUAAAGCGUACGUAGGCGGAUUUGUAAGUAAGGUGUGAAAUCUCCAGGCUCAACCUGGGAACUGCCUUUGAGACUGCAAGUCUCGAGUGCAGGAGAGGGGGGUGGAAUUCCACGUGUAGAGGUGAAAUUCGUAGAGAUGCGGAGGAACACCGGUGGCGAAGGCGGCUCCCUGGACCGACACUGACGCUGAUGCACGAAAGCGUGGGGAGCAAACAGG